rnacentral:rRNA from 1 species
UACGAAGGGGGCUAGCGUUGCUCGGAAUUACUGGGCGUAAAGCGCACGUAGGCGGAUCUUUAAGUCAGGGGUGAAAUCCUGGAGCUCAACUCCGGAACUGCCAUUGAAACUGUUUAGCUUGAGGAUGAGAGAGGUGAGUGGAAUUCCCAGUGUAGAGGUGAAAUUCGUAGAUAUUGGGAAGAACACCGGUGGCGAAGGCGGCUCACUGGCUCAUUACUGACGCUCAGGCGCGAUAGCGUGGGGAUCAAACAGG